CAGAUUGCAGGCUGCAACUCGCCUGCAUGAAGUCGGAAUUGCUAGUAAUCGUAGGUCAGCAUACUACGGUGAAUACGUUCCCGGGCCUUGUACACACCGCCCGUCAAACCAUGAGAGUUGGCAACACCCGAAGUCGGUAGUCUAACCGCAAGGAGGACGCCGCCGAAGGUGGGGUUGAUGAUUAGGGUUAAGUCGUAACAAGGUACC
rnacentral:rRNA from 1 species